UCGUGCUAGAUGGGGCAGUGGCGGCGCCCUGUACCCGCAGUCCGCCAUAGCGGGAUCGAAUUCCCUCUCGAGGGCUUGCGGCUGUCUAAACUGCCGGUACGACGCAGCGUUGAAGGUUGGGUCCUGCGCGGCGGGAGCCUGUGAACCUGGUCAGGUCCGGAAGGAAGCAGCCAUAAGCAGUCCCUCUCGGGUGACGCAGGGUAGCCUGGCCGGAGCUGUCGCGUGUCGGUAAGCAGGCAAGUGCAGUUCGACAGAGGGUGCACGA
rnacentral:SRP_RNA from 1 species